rnacentral:misc_RNA from 1 species
GAAAUGCGAUAAGUAAUGUGAAUUGCAGAAUUCAGUGAAUCAUCGAAUCUUUGAACGCACAUUGCGCCCCCUGGUAUUCCGGGGGGCAUGCCUGUUCGAGCGUCAUUUCACCACUCAAGCCUCGCUUGGUAUUGGGCGACGCGGUCCGCCGCGCGCCUCAAAUCGACCGGCUGGGUCUUCCGUCCCCUCAGCGUUGUGGAAACUAUUCGCUAAAGGGUGCCGCGGGAGGUCACGCCUCAAAACAACCCCAUUUCUAAGGUUGACCUCGGAUCAGGUAGGGAUACCCGCUGAACUUAAGC